rnacentral:rRNA from 1 species
UACGGAGGGGGCUAGCGUUGUUCGGAAUUACUGGGCGUAAAGCGCACGUAGGCGGACUUUUAAGUCAGGUGUGAAAUCCCGGGGCUCAACCUCGGAACUGCAUUUGAAACUGGAAGGCUUGAGACCAGGAGAGGUUAGCGGAAUACCGAGUGUAGAGGUGAAAUUCGUAGAUAUUCGGUGGAACACCAGUGGCGAAGGCGGCUAACUGGACUGGUACUGACGCUGAGGUGCGAAAGUGUGGGGAGCAAACAGG